CAAGCUAUAGCAUAUAUUAAUGCCUCUUAUUUACACUAAGAAGAAAAUAAUAAUUUAACUUG
rnacentral:tRNA from 1 species